UACGGAGGGUGCAAGCGUUAUCCGGAUUCACUGGGUUUAAAGAGCUCGUAGGUGGUUCGGUAAGUCGGGUGUGAAAACUCUGGGCUCAACCCAGAGACGCCACCCGAUACUGCCGUGACUUGAGUCUGGUAGGGGAGUGUGGAAUUCCACGUGUAGCGGUGAAAUGCGUAGAGAUGUGGAGGAACACCAGUGGCGAAGGCGACUCUUUGGUCUGUAACUGACGCUGAGGCGCGAAAGCGUGGGGAGCAAACAGG
rnacentral:rRNA from 1 species